rnacentral:rRNA from 1 species
CCUACGGGUGGCAGCAGUGAGGAAUAUUGGUCAAUGGACGAGAGUCUGAACCAGCCAAGUAGCGUGAAGGAUGACUGCCCUAUGGGUUGUAAACUUCUUUUAUAAAGGAAUAAAACGAGGCACGUGUGCCUUUUUGCAUGUACUUUAUGAAUAAGGAUCGGCUAACUCCGUGCCAGCAGCCGCGGUAAUACGGAGGCUCCGAGCGUUAUCCGGAUUUAUUGGGUUUAAAGGGAGCGUAGAUGGGUUGUUAAGUCAGUUGUGAAAGUUUGCGGCUCAACCGUAAAAUUGCAAUUGAUACUGGCAGUCGUGAGUACAGUUGAGGUAGGCGGAAUUCGUGGUGUAGCGGUGAAAUGCUUAGAUAUCACGAAGAACCCCGAUUGCGAAGGCAGCUUACUAAACUGUGACUGACAUUGAUGCUCGAAAGUGUGGGUAUCAAACAGGAUUAGAUACCCGAGUAGUC